rnacentral:lncRNA from 1 species
CGUUUUUCUUAGAGUAGCAUCAGUGAUCAGCCAGAGGCGUGACUUGAAGCACAGUUGAGCUGUAAAUGGGCUAAAAGAAUUAACAAGUUGAAAACUUAAAAAGAUCGAACAUAGCCUUUUGAGUAAUGGAAAAUGAAUGGAGUGAAAUUUCUUCUAGAUUUGUAAAUGUGAUAGCCCAUUCGCAUAUAGUCCAUAUAAAGCCAACAGCCUCUAUGGAUCCCUUUUUUUUUCCUGACC